GAUGAACGCUAGCGGCAGGCCUAAUACAUGCAAGACGAACGGCAAGAAUGAUAGCAAUAUUGUUCCUAGAGUGUCGUAAGGGUGCGUAACACGUAUGCAAUCUGCCCUCAACAGGAGGAUAGCUCCCCGAAAGGGGAAUUAACACUCCAUAAGAUCACAUAAUGGCAUCAUUGAGUGAUUAAAACUAAGGUGGUUGAGGAUGAGCAUGCGCAUGAUUAGUUAGGUGGCGGGGUAACGGCCCACCAAGACGAUGAUCAUUAGGGGAACUGAGAGGUUGAGCCCCCACACUGACACUGAGAUACGGGCCAGACUCCUACGGGAGGCAGCAGUAGGGAAUAUUGGACAAUGGGUGCGAGCCUGAUCCAGCCAUGCCGCGUGCAGGAAGACGGCCUUCUGGGUUGUAAACUGCUUUUGCCAGGGGAUAAAACGUUCCUGCAGGGAUAAUUGAAGGUACCUGGUGAAUAAGCCACGGCUAACUACGUGCCAGCAGCCGCAGUAA
rnacentral:rRNA from 1 species